UCUCUGCCAUUUAGGACUUAAAUCACUUUGUUUAUGCAGCCCUAGGCACACCUCUGUGCUUGUGUCUAACACAGCCUUCCUAAACACUUCCUGUAAAAAGUAAUCUAAUGUUUACACUUCCUUUAUUGCAAAUACUGUUUAAUUUACACUUUCUUAUUUCCUGCUCUGUUAAUAGUUUGCUAGUACUGCGGGAGCCUCCUGUAUGUGAUUAAAGUUCAAUUUACAGAGCAGGAGAUAAAAAAAAAAAAGUAAUUAAAUAAGUAAGUUGCACCUGAUUGAAAAUGAAACCAUUUUGUAUUCAUGCAGGCUGUGUCAGUCACAGCCAGGGGAGGUGUGGCUAGGGCUGCAUAAACAUAAACAGAAGAAAAGUGAUUUAACUCCUAAAUGGCUGAGAACUAAGCAGUGAGACUUCACAAGCAUGAUCUAUACACUAAAACCGCUUAAUUAAGCUAAAGUUGUUUUGAUUACUAUAGUGUCCCUUUAAAUAACAUUUUUUUUUCCAUUUCAGAAGCCAACGUACAUUUAUUUCCCUUUUUUUUCCUACAAGUUUUUCAGAUUUUUUUUUCACAUUUGAACAGGGUGAAAUUCACCAGAGCCUUGGUUAUCUCUACCGUUCACAGUAACAUGGGAUCUGGGUGUUCUCCUACAUGAGGCUAUUUCCACUGUCUUCUGACAUGAAUCCUUUCCUUUCUUCAUGCACACAGCAUGGGGCCAUCCAUGUGUUAAAAUCUGAAAAGCCUACAUUAUUUGCCUCAUUUGAUUUUUCCCGUCUUGACUUUCUUCCAAAGUGAACAUUUUCUGUUAUUUUUCACAAUGAAGCAUUUGAGAUCCUACAUUUUUUAAGUCGUAAUUUUAUAGAUGGGAAUCAUCACUCAGAAGCAUGCUGCAGUUAUUUCUCUUUUCAAUUUCUUCUAGUUUUAUAGAAUAUGUGGACUUUUCAUUCUCUUAGUAUUGUUCAUAUAACAGAUAAAAGAUGUCUAUUUUUGAAGCAUAAAUGAUUAAG